AUGUACAUUCUUACAUCAUAACGUUAAUGCAUUGGAUCCCAUUAGAACUCUGCAAUUAAGUUUGCUUGGGAUAGAGUAGUACUGUGAUGGGUGACUUCCCGGAAAGUCCUUGUGUUUUACAUG
rfam:Picea glauca, whole genome shotgun sequence.